UCCGUUAUGGUUACUAAAUUAUCAAGCAAUUUUGUCGUUUUCGAGCAUUUUCGUAAUAUUUUUUCUAUGGGAAAGAGAAAUAGCAGCAUGCCGAAUAAGUGUUUUGUGUCCUGGUGUAAGUCUGGCAAGCGCAAAUCUCGUGAGAAGCGUCAUUUUUUCACGCCAUAUCCGAACCUGUUAGAUAAGUGGAGACAUUUAAUUCCUCGAAGAAGAGAUUUAGAAUUCUCCAAAAAGUCGAAAAUAUGUGACUUGUAUUUUGAUGAAAGAUUUAUACUUAAGAAUUAUGUGCAUAUAAUUGAGGGUAAGAGAGUCGAGAUGCCACAUGGAAAAUGGCAACUGACACGUGAUGCUUAUCCUACGAACUUUCCCAAUUGCCCGUCAUGUUUGCCUGUUAAAGUUCCUAAAUUACGUCAGUCUCCAAGGAAGAGAAAAACUACUCCCAACGUAAAUAACAAUUCAAAAGUUGUAAAGGUAUUAUCGACCCCGAGGAACAAGGACAACAGAAGCAACAGUCUGCAGCCAUCGACGUCUAGACAGUCAACUGAAAUGGAACUUAUUCUAGCUCAAAGGCACGUGAACAACAUUGUAUCUGAGAUAGUUCCAGAAAUCGAGCAAAACAAAGUUUUAGGCAUGGAUACUCCAGGGCAAAGAAAGCGGAGAAAAAGAAGUCUUGCCAGUACUACCCGAGAUCGCAACUAUGUUAGACGUAAUGGAACCAAAGUAGCCUAUUCUCAGAAAGAAAAGAAAAAUAAUAUAAAGUACAAAGCCACGCGAAUAAAAUACGUCGAAGAAGUUGUAGAUUCUUCUCGAGAUAUGCAAAUUCUUGACAAUGCAGAGGCUGUAGAACAGGUCAAACUUACCACAUUGGGAUCCGGAUGUGAAAUUGGAAGAAGCUGUCGAGAGACAGGACCAGUGGGAGGAGCCUCUUGGUACCGGAGAACAGGUGACAUGAAUGAAGAUGAAAUUGCCAUUAAAAAGAAACCAGAGUGGGACGUUGAUGCCAAAAUUGAUCAUUUGUCUCGUUUGCAAUUUGAAAUCGAUAGCUCAAGUAUUAAAGCCGAGCGCAAUAGUACCGCUAUGGAGAAUGAUCUGCCUUUGAAAAAUGGAGAAGAGACGAUAUAUAAAAAUAACAGUGCAUAUUUUCAAGACAACUACAUUUAUGCAGAUUUCAAGCAUGAAAUAAAAAAAGAAUUUCGUGAUGAACCCGAAUGUACGAAUGACACAUUUACUGUGAAUGGGAACGAGAAUAAAGAAAACGUACAAGAGGAAGAAAGAUAUCUGACUGUGAAAGAUUUACGAUGGAAUAAUAAUAAUCCUGAUAUUCUGCUGGAUCCAAAAUUAAAAUUACAAUGCAAAGUUAUUUGUGAAAAAGUGAAUUUCGAAAGUGGAAAAGCACCACCUUUAAAGUCACGGCAGAAAGAAAAUGAUGUAUCAAGUAUCAAGAACCACAAAGGUUGUAAUUGCUCUUAUUCAGUCAACAAUAAUAAAUUAUAUGAUUGUUCUGAUUGUACAGAAAUUACAAGGUUGUCUUCAUCAAAUAACGAAAUUGGAGGAAAUGAAGAAAUAAUUAAGAAUGUCCUUACCGAUAACCUCAACAAAGGGACUUAUAUGAAGAACUAUUUUAAUCGUGAUAACUGCAAGAAAAAUUAUAAAGGAAUUAGUAACUUAAUUCCAAAAUUUAUUAUUAAAUUGAAAUUAUGCAGAAAUCGAGUUUUGAAAAGGCAUUUAUUCAUUUCGUCGAGAAAGAAGCUGGAGUGUUAUAUUUGCAAGAAGACAUUUUCAUAUAGUAUACUAUACGGCAAUCAUCUGUUUGAACAUUCCAAUAAAAGAACUUACCCCUGUAAUGUCUGUAAAAAACAGUUUUUCUUCAAAUGUUAUUUUGAGGAACACAAAAAAUCACAUAUAGAAGGAACUCCGUUUUCUUGUUCAAAAUGCAAGAAGAGAUUUAAACUUUCAUCUGAAUUAGUAAAGCACAGGAAAUAUCAUUUCAAAGUUAAAUGUUGCUCGAAAGUCGGCCGCAACCUGUGCAAACGUUAUGUAAAGGAAGUUAAGUCGAGAAAACUGAAGUAUUCCAAAAAUAGACUAUUUCUGUGUGAGAUUUGUGGGAAAAUAUUUCAUUGUCAAAGUUAUUUUGGGACCCAUUUAAUGUAUCAUUCUGAUAAAAGGCCGUUUGAAUGCAAAUUCUGCAGAAAAAGUUUUAAGACAAAGGCUUGUUUGAAAGUACACAAAGAGUAUCAUUCCUAUAAAAUGCGUCAUUCAUGCAAACUCUGUGGAAAACAAUAUAAGACUAAAUAUAGCUUAAAACUACAUCAGGAUAGUCAUAGCAACAUAAGAGCUUUUCAAUGCAAAUUAUGCACCAAAUCAUUUAACUUAAAAUCAAUAUUAAUUAUGCAUCAGAAGGUUCAUUCAGAUGUGAGGUCUUUCUUGUGUGAAAUAUGUGGAAAAACAUUUAAGACCAAACAAAAUUUAAUACAACAUCAGAAGAGUCAUAGCAAAGAAAGGUCUUUUCCAUGCAAGUUGUGCACCAAAACAUUUAAACUGAGAUCCAUGUUGAUGGGACAUCAGAAUCUUCAUUUGGAUGUAAUGCCUUUCUCAUGUGAAAUUUGUGGAAAAGUUUUCAAAUCACUGCUGUUACUAAUUGAACACAAUGUGCGUCAUGCCAAUAGCAAACCUUUUGAAUGUGAAAUUUGUCUGAAGCAUUUUAAAGUGAAAUCAACUCUAAUAUCACACAUUAGAAUGCAUGCUACAAAAGCCUAAAGGUCCUGUGCGUGACAUAUGCAGAAAGAAUUUUAAGCAGAAAUCGAAGUUAAAAGAUGCAGAGAAGAACCCAUUUUAAGAAAAGAUACCAAAUAUGAACUCACCAACAAUUGUUAAUGUAAGAAGUGAUUCAGAAGAAAUUGGGGAAGAGAUAUUAAAAUUUUGGCGACCAUUGCUGAAGAGUAUGGCGUUAUUAGGAUUAAAUUACAAUAAAAACGGUUUCAAUGCUUACAACAUUACCAUAUUGAUUAUAAUUAAGGUUUAUAUUCUCUACAUUUUAAUUGUAUUUUUUCAUAAUUUCAAUACACUUUGGUCUUUUUUCACAACCUUUACAGAAUUUAUGCUCAUUGUUUGUAGUUUGAUGUCUUUGUUUUCGAUUUAUAAUUUUCUCAUCAAUAAGAAAAAACAUUUUCGUAAUAUAGAAACGUUGCCUUUUCCUGCAAGAUUUAAGUAUUUUUCUCGUCGAGAACACAAAAUUUUGUCGAUUAAAGUAGCAAUUAUUUGGAUUCAGGGUAUAGGAAUUCAAAUAGUUUUUCAAAUCCUUAGUCUGUAUAACGAUAGAGAUUCUGACACACUGCACGUGAGAGAAUUAUUCGGUUAUGAAAUACCAAAAUCAUUAUCUCUUGCAUUUCUCUUGAUAUUUGAGUUAGUAGAUACGAUUUGUUUUUAUAUAACUCAAAACUUUCUCUUCUUUUUCUUUUCUUCCACAUGCAAAUUAAUAGAAAACUGUAUCAACCAGUUGACGCACAAGAUGUGUACGUGUGAAGAAUUUGCAAAGGAAAUAUACUCGAUUCCAAAUUUGUACAUGAAGAUAAAAGAAAUAGUAGAAGCCAUUGAAGGAAACUAUUCAUGGAUUUUCUUUCUUUGGACAUCCGUUUUAGGAGUUUACUUAACAAUAAGCCUAUGCAAUUUUGUACCUUCGGUCAACAUUGGUAAAUUUCAAGCAAUUUCCUUUUUCUCUUACUGUAUUUUUUCAUUUAUAUUAUAUGCUGAUGUUUGCAUCAGUGCUUCGAGAGUAACUGAAUCUGCUGCGAAAUUUUCGUCCAUAAUCUAUAAAAAAUCGCUGUCUUGCAACGACAAACACAUCCAAGAAUAUGCGUGCAGAUUUUCUUCUAAAUGCUUAGAAGAAUUGCCUUCGUUUUCUGCUUGCAAUGCCUUUAAAAUAAAUCGAACCCUAAUCUUGACCAUCGUUAGUAUUGCUAUUACUUAUACAGCUAUUGCUAGUCAAUAUGCUUGAAAAAUUUUCAAAUUCCGUAUCAAAAUAAUAUCAUAUAAUCAAUUGAGCACUGGUUUGAUAGUCAUGGUACUAAAUCUAAUACAAAUUUUAUCCUCAAUAUAGAAGAAUACUAAUGUAAUUGUAUUGAAAAUAAGUC